UACGAAGGGGGCUAGCGUUGCUCGGAAUCACUGGGCGUAAAGCGCACGUAGGCGGACUCUUAAGUCAGGGGUGAAAUCCUGGAGCUCAACUCCAGAACUGCCUUUGAUACUGGGAGUCUCGAGUUCGGGAGAGGUGAGUGGAACUGCGAGUGUAGAGGUGAAAUUCGUAGAUAUUCGCAAGAACACCAGUGGCGAAGGCGGCUCACUGGCCCGAUACUGACGCUGAGGUGCGAAAGCGUGGGUAGCAAACAGG
rnacentral:rRNA from 1 species